rnacentral:tRNA from 1 species
GAGGGUACAGCUCAGGGGGAGAGCACAUGCUUAGUAGGCAUGAGGUCCUGCGUUCAAUCCCCAGUACCUCCA